rnacentral:rRNA from 1 species
AUUGAACGCUGGCGGCAGGCCUAACACAUGCAAGUCGAACGAGUGGCGGACGGGUGAGUAAUGUCUGGGAAACUGCCUGAUGGAGGGGGAUAACUACUGGAAACGGUGGCUAAUACCGCAUACCAUCAGAUGUACCCAUAUGGGAUUAGCUUGUUGGUGGGGUAACGGCUCACCAAGGCGACGAUCCCUAGCUGGUCUGAGAGGAUGACCAGCCACACUGGGACGGAGACACGGUCCAGACUCCUACGGGAGGCAGCAGUGGGGAAUAUUGCACAAUGGGCGCAAGCCUGAUGCAGCCAUGCCGCGUGUAUGAAGAAGGCCUUCGGGUUGUAAAGUACUUUCAGCGGGGAGGCGUUACCCGCAGAAGAAGCACCGGCUAACUCCGUGCCAGCAGCCGCGGUAAUUC